UACGUAGGGUCCGAGCGUUGUCCGGAAUUACUGGGCGUAAAGAGCUCGUAGGUGGUUUGUCGCGUUGUUCGUGAAAACUCACAACUCAAUUGUGGGCGUGCGGGCGAUACGGGCAGACUUGAGUACUGCAGGGGAGACUGGAAUUCCUGGUGUAGCGGUGGAAUGCGCAGAUAUCAGGAGGAACACCGGUGGCGAAGGCGGAUCUCUGGGCCGAUACUGACGCUGAGGCACGAAAGCGUGGGGAGCAAACAGG
rnacentral:rRNA from 1 species